GGGUUGUGAGGUUAAGCGACUAAGCGUACACGGUGGAUGCCCUGGCAGUCAGAGGCGAUGAAGGACGUGCUAAUCUGCGAUAAGCGUCGGUAAGGUGAUAUGAACCGUUAUAACCGGCGAUUUCCGAAUGGGGAAACCCAGUGUGUUUCGACACACUAUCAUUAACUGAAUCCAUAGGUUAAUGAGGCGAACCGGGGGAACUGAAACAUCUAAGUACCCCGAGGAAAAGAAAUCAACCGAGAUUCCCCCAGUAGCGGCGAGCGAACGGGGAGCAGCCCAGAGCCUGAAUCAGUGUGUGUGUUAGUGGAAGCGUCUGGAAAGGCGCGCGAUACAGGGUGACAGCCCCGUACACAAAAAUGCACAUGCUGUGAGCUCGAUGAGUAGGGCGGGACACGUGGUAUCCUGUCUGAAUAUGGGGGGACCAUCCUCCAAGGCUAAAUACUCCUGACUGACCGAUAGUGAACCAGUACCGUGAGGGAAAGGCGAAAAGAACCCCGGCGAGGGGAGUGAAAAAGAACCUGAAACCGUGUACGUACAAGCAGUGGGAGCACGCUUAGGCGUGUGACUGCGUACCUUUUGUAUAAUGGGUCAGCGACUUAUAUUCUGUAGCAAGGUUAACCGAAUAGGGGAGCCGAAGGGAAACCGAGUCUUAACUGGGCGUUAAGUUGCAGGGUAUAGACCCGAAACCCGGUGAUCUAGCCAUGGGCAGGUUGAAGGUUGGGUAACACUAACUGGAGGACCGAACCGACUAAUGUUGAAAAAUUAGCGGAUGACUUGUGGCUGGGGGUGAAAGGCCAAUCAAACCGGGAGAUAGCUGGUUCUCCCCGAAAGCUAUUUAGGUAGCGCCUCGUGAACUCAUCUCCGGGGGUAGAGCACUGUUUCGGCAAGGGGGUCAUCCCGACUUACCAACCCGAUGCAAACUGCGAAUACCGGAGAAUGUUAUCACGGGAGACACACGGCGGGUGCUAACGUCCGUCGUGAAGAGGGAAACAACCCAGACCGCCAGCUAAGGUCCCAAAGUCAUGGUUAAGUGGGAAACGAUGUGGGAAGGCCCAGACAGCCAGGAUGUUGGCUUAGAAGCAGCCAUCAUUUAAAGAAAGCGUAAUAGCUCACUGGUCGAGUCGGCCUGCGCGGAAGAUGUAACGGGGCUAAACCAUGCACCGAAGCUGCGGCAGCGACACUAUGUGUUGUUGGGUAGGGGAGCGUUCUGUAAGCCUGUGAAGGUGUGCUGUGAGGCAUGCUGGAGGUAUCAGAAGUGCGAAUGCUGACAUAAGUAACGAUAAAGCGGGUGAAAAGCCCGCUCGCCGGAAGACCAAGGGUUCCUGUCCAACGUUAAUCGGGGCAGGGUGAGUCGACCCCUAAGGCGAGGCCGAAAGGCGUAGUCGAUGGGAAACAGGUUAAUAUUCCUGUACUUGGUGUUACUGCGAAGGGGGGACGGAGAAGGCUAUGUUGGCCGGGCGACGGUUGUCCCGGUUUAAGCGUGUAGGCUGGUUUUCCAGGCAAAUCCGGAAAAUCAAGGCUGAGGCGUGAUGACGAGGCACUACGGUGCUGAAGCAACAAAUGCCCUGCUUCCAGGAAAAGCCUCUAAGCAUCAGGUAACAUCAAAUCGUACCCCAAACCGACACAGGUGGUCAGGUAGAGAAUACCAAGGCGCUUGAGAGAACUCGGGUGAAGGAACUAGGCAAAAUGGUGCCGUAACUUCGGGAGAAGGCACGCUGAUAUGUAGGUGAAGUCCCUCGCGGAUGGAGCUGAAAUCAGUCGAAGAUACCAGCUGGCUGCAACUGUUUAUUAAAAACACAGCACUGUGCAAACACGAAAGUGGACGUAUACGGUGUGACGCCUGCCCGGUGCCGGAAGGUUAAUUGAUGGGGUCAGCGCAAGCGAAGCUCUUGAUCGAAGCCCCGGUAAACGGCGGCCGUAACUAUAACGGUCCUAAGGUAGCGAAAUUCCUUGUCGGGUAAGUUCCGACCUGCACGAAUGGCGUAAUGAUGGCCAGGCUGUCUCCACCCGAGACUCAGUGAAAUUGAACUCGCUGUGAAGAUGCAGUGUACCCGCGGCAAGACGGAAAGACCCCGUGAACCUUUACUAUAGCUUGACACUGAACAUUGAGCCUUGAUGUGUAGGAUAGGUGGGAGGCUUUGAAGUGUGGACGCCAGUCUGCAUGGAGCCGACCUUGAAAUACCACCCUUUAAUGUUUGAUGUUCUAACGUUGACCCGUAAUCCGGGUUGCGGACAGUGUCUGGUGGGUAGUUUGACUGGGGCGGUCUCCUCCUAAAGAGUAACGGAGGAGCACGAAGGUUGGCUAAUCCUGGUCGGACAUCAGGAGGUUAGUGCAAUGGCAUAAGCCAGCUUGACUGCGAGCGUGACGGCGCGAGCAGGUGCGAAAGCAGGUCAUAGUGAUCCGGUGGUUCUGAAUGGAAGGGCCAUCGCUCAACGGAUAAAAGGUACUCCGGGGAUAACAGGCUGAUACCGCCCAAGAGUUCAUAUCGACGGCGGUGUUUGGCACCUCGAUGUCGGCUCAUCACAUCCUGGGGCUGAAGUAGGUCCCAAGGGUAUGGCUGUUCGCCAUUUAAAGUGGUACGCGAGCUGGGUUUAGAACGUCGUGAGACAGUUCGGUCCCUAUCUGCCGUGGGCGCUGGAGAACUGAGGGGGGCUGCUCCUAGUACGAGAGGACCGGAGUGGACGCAUCACUGGUGUUCGGGUUGUCAUGCCAAUGGCACUGCCCGGUAGCUAAAUGCGGAAGAGAUAAGUGCUGAAAGCAUCUAAGCACGAAACUUGCCCCGAGAUGAGUUCUCCCUGACUCCUUGAGAGUCCUGAAGGAACGUUGAAGACGACGACGUUGAUAGGCCGGGUGUGUAAGCGCAGCGAUGCGUUGAGCUAACCGGUACUAAUGAACCGUGAGGCUUAACCUUACAACGCCGAAGGUGUUU
rnacentral:rRNA from 1 species